CAGCGCAUUGGCAUUAGUGUAUUGGUGAUUAAAUUAUAGUGCUGAAAUACCUAAUUUAUGUAUCUGGUGUGACAGAUUUUAAGGCGAAAGCCAUAGCCAUACCAACUGGCAGCGGAGAGCUCCUCCCCUGCUCUCAUACUGGGAAUAUACAUGUGCAUAUAAACACUGCAGAACAGAUUGCUGGAUCAGUUUAUCAAGGCACUUCAUCAGGCAGUCCAGGCAGCUGGAAUACUGGAAUAUUGCAUGCUCACACACACAUACACACACACACGCACAAAGUGCAUAACAUUUGCAUAUCAACUCUUGCAGGAAUUGAAGACUCUGAUUUGAAGGUUGCUCCGGUUUGAACAAAACCUAAGUCAAGAUGGGGAAUGAAGCGUCUUACGAAAUGCAGGACCAUAAAGAGGUCAACGGAAAGCUCCAGAAUGGGGGCUUGAAUGGCCACGCUGUGAGCAUCUCUUUGAAGGAGGAACCCAAUGAAAUGGCUGUACAACAGUUCAAUGUCCUCCCCACUCCUCCUAUCGCAAAGGACACAGCCCCCACGGCAGCAAGCGAGCCAGACGGUUUGAAAGCACCCAGCAGCACCCCCCAGGUUCAGCCAUCUCCAAACAAGCCAGAUCCACCCUCUUCUAAAGCCCCAGAGAACCCAUCAUCUGAACUGGUCAACACGGAGGUGCCCACAGAGGGGCAGAGCAGCACCCAGCCACCUCAUGCCUCAGACCCUGAGGAGGAACCCAAGCCUGCCCCUGAGGCCAAGGUUCCCCUCUUCAACAAGCUUUUCAAGAAGAAAACAGAGGACAAGGUUCUGAAGGAUGUGCCUACAGUGCAGCUUGAAGUCUCUGAAGGGGAGAAGCCUGUUGUGAUGACAGUCACCAUAGAUGGCCUCCAGAGUACAAAGGGCCCUAAGGAGCCUGAGGGCAAGACCAAGCUGGAGAAAGGGUCCCCAGCGAAGGAAGCAGUCCCAUCUGCAACAGAGCCCAAAGAUCUGGAGCCCAGUCCAAAGGACUCUACAGGCGGGGCCUUCAGCAAACUCUUCCGACAGAAGUCUUUUAAGGAUACCCAGCCAACAACCACAAAUGGCGUACAGGAAGUAGAUGCUGCUACCGCUGCAAAGACUGCGAAGACGGUGCCUCCACCAGAGCCACCCAAAGCUGAAACCAAAGCAGAACCAGCUGCUAAAAACAUCCAGAAAGAGGGGCUCAAAGACGUGCCAAGUGGCCCGGAAACGUCCGCCAAGAAGCCUUCUAAAGGUGGCCGCUUCUCCAAACUUUUUAGUUCUAAAACGGCCGCUUCGAAGGCCAGUACCCUAGAGGCCACUCCACCACCAGAGCAGCCCCCGAAACCAAUGGAGAAAAAGAAAUCUAAUCUCAUCUCCAUUUUCAAGACCAAGGUACCGCAACGCCCGCAAACCUCUAAAGUCCAGGCUGUGCCGGCAUCUGGAAACAGUGUAACGGUCAACACCGAAGCACCGGCCCCUGAGGCCACAAAGGAAACCCCCCCUGAGGCUCCACCGCUGCCGGAGGCUGCACCCAGCGCCAAGGCGAAAGAGGAGCCCAAGCCCCCCGCAGAGGCCGAGAAGAAGAAGAGCGGCAAGCAGGAGGCUGCCCCUAAAGCCAAGGCUCCUGAGGUCACCGCCGACAACAAGUUGGUGUCUGAGGCCUUGCCAGGUGGAGAUGAUGUUGUCCCCAGUGUCACCAAGAAGCUUGAGAAGAGGAACUCAAUCCAUUUGUUCUUCAAAAGUUUGGGACCAAAACGACUGUCAGAGGUUGGAGUUCAGACCGAUCCUGUGACCAUUACUUACCCCUCUGAAAAGGCCAAGUAACAUCCCACUGCUCUGUUUUCUAAACCCGUGAAGAAAGGCAGGGCAAAACAAACUUUUGUAUAUGUACAUCUUUUGCGUUCUCAUCUGAUUUUCGGUGCAGAAGGGCGGGUGGUGAGAUUUUACAAUGUGCAGCGGGGGUAAGAGCAAGUGGUCGUCGACUGAAAGCUGACGGACAACUGUCGUGUAUGGAAUGGAGGGAAGGGAGGGGUUGGAUCAUGGGGGGCUUUCUUGUGAAAGAGGGUACUUCACUAUGGACGUCAGUGGUGUUUAUGGUGAAAAGGCAAUAGCUAAUCAAUAGAAAUGAUUGACUCUUCUACUGACUGUUAAUUGACACAGCCUUCAUUUUUUUGUCAUAUAGAGUGACGACAGUUUCAUAGCUAGCCUUCGCUCCUGGAAAUGCUUCAUAUAAAACCUUCUAAACUCAAACUUCUUAUUUAUCUCUAUGUUAAAUGGUCUAAUAUAUUAAGAACAUUAUUAUUACUUUUGUUAUUUUCUUUUGUAAGCAUAUAGUUUGUUGUAGAUUGUGUAGGACAUUAAAAGUAUAUUGACUGUAUGAUCAGUUUGCUUUAUUUUCAGACUGUAAAGUGAAAUUCUUGCUUAUAUGUGCAUGUACUGUGAGGAUUAGUGGCAAAGCUGUGAACCCAUGAAAUCUAUAUUUCGCAGCUCACAUCUAUAUUUUCACAGCUUGUUGUAAAACAUUAUUAAAGAAAUUCUACCAAAAGUCAAAAGUCUCAAGAAACGGCAAACCGGGGGAAAAUGACAUAAACUGAACAGAAAAGGAUCUAUGAUCAGAAAAAAAAAUUAAAAAAAAAAAAAAAAAAAAAUUCCUAUAGCCACUAUAGAAUUUCAAAUUUCAACUCACAACUUGCAGUUCUUUUGUGAG
ensembl:lncRNA